UACGUAGGGGGCGAGCGUUGUCCGGAGUUACUGGGCGUAAAGGGCGUGCAGGCGGUGCGGUAAGUUUAGAGUGACAGUAUCCGGCUUAACUGGAUAAGGCCUCUGAAAACUGCCGGACUUGAGGGCCAGAGAGGGACAUAGAAUUCCGGGUGGAGUGGUGAAAUGCGAUAGAUAUCCGGAGGAAUACCAAAGGCGAAGGCAGUGUCCUGGC
rnacentral:rRNA from 1 species